UGUAGACAUGAUGAUGAGCACAGGAAAGAGCAUGUAAACAGAUAAAUGCCACCAGGGAUCAACAUCAGCUCCACGUUCUUUUGCUGUUAUUUUUAGGCCCCAAACUCUGGCUUGUCAAAUCCCCAUGUUUGUCUGAAUGAAGGAUUUUGAAUCACACUGAUGG
rnacentral:lncRNA from 1 species